rnacentral:rRNA from 1 species
CCUACGGGAGGCUGCAGUGGGGAAUAUUGGACAAUGGGGGCAACCCUGAUCCAGCCAUGCCGCGUGUGUGAAGAAGGCCCUCGGGUUGUAAAGCACUUUCAGUGAGGAAGAACGCCUGGUGGUUAAUACCCAUCAGGAAAGACAUCACUCACAGAAGAAGCACCGGCUAACUCCGUGCCAGCAGCCGCGGUAAUACGGAGGGUGCGAGCGUUAAUCGGAAUUACUGGGCGUAAAGCGCGCGUAGGUGGCUUGAUAAGCCGGUUGUGAAAGCCCCGGGCUCAACCUGGGAACGGCAUCCGGAACUGGCAAGCUAGAGUGCAGGAGAGGAAGGUAGAAUUCCCGGUGUAGCGGUGAAAUGCGUAGAGAUCGGGAGGAAUACCAGUGGCGAAGGCGGCCUUCUGGACUGACACUGACACUGAGGUGCGAAAGCGUGGGUAGCAAACAGGAUUAGAUACCCCGGUAGUC